CAGGGCUUCAAUUGAUUUAGCCAGGGCACUCGAAGAGCAGGAAAGACGUUAUAGGGAAAAUCGCCGACUUGCAGCAAAAAUUGCAGCCAGUGGCUCUGGUAGCGGGUUAGUAACCGGGAGGGAGAGGGGUGAGGUCAAGCUUCCGAAUGAAAU
rnacentral:sRNA from 15 species